UGCGAAGGCAAGCGGAUCUCUUAAAGCNGUUCUCAGUUCGGACUGCAGUCUGCAACUCGACUGCACGAAGCUGGAAUCGCUAGUAAUCGCGGAUCAGCACGCCGCGGUGAAUACGUUCCCGGGCCUUGUACACACCGCCCGUCACACCAUGGAAGUCUGCAAUGCCCGAAGCCGGUGGCCUAACCACUUAUGUGGAAGGAGCCGUCUAAGGCGGGGCAGAUGACUGGGGUGAAGUCGUAACAAGGUACC
rnacentral:rRNA from 1 species